UACGUAGGGUGCGAGCGUUAAUCGGAAUUACUGGGCGUAAAGCGUGCGCAGGCGGUUCGUUGUGUCGGCGGUGAAAGCCCUGGGCUCAACCUAGGAAUUGCACUUGAUACUGUUUGGCUUGAGUUCGGGAGAGGUGAGUGGAAUUCCCAGUGUAGAGGUGAAAUUCGUAGAUAUUGGGAAGAACACCAGUGGCGAAGGCGGCUCACUGGACCGACACUGACGCUGAGGCGCGAAAGCGUGGGGAGCAAACAGG
rnacentral:rRNA from 1 species